UGAACGACUCUCGGCAACGGAUAUCUCGGCUCUCGCAUCGAUGAAGAACGUAGCGAAAUGCGAUACUUGGUGUGAAUUGCAGAAUCCCGCGAACCAUCGAGUCUUUGAACGCAAGUUGCGCCCGAAGCCAUUAGGUUGAGGGCACGUCUGCCUGGGCGUCUCGC
rnacentral:rRNA from 2 species